GAUGCUCUACAUUUCCUGUUGAUCCUGCCGGACCUGACUGCUAUCGGAUUGGUACUAAGCCAUGCGAGUCGUUGUAGCAAUACAAGGCGGACUGCUCAGUAACACGUAGUUAACUUAACCUAUGGAUGGGCAUAACCUCGGGAAACUGAGAAUAAUACCCAAUGGACCACAGUGCCUGGAAUGGCCUGUGGUUGAAAUGAUUUAUCGCCGUAGGAUAGGACUGCGGCCUAUCAGCUUGUUGGUGAGGUAAUGGCCCACCAAGGCUAUAACAGGUACGGGCUCUGAGAGGAGGGGCCCGGAGAUGGGUACUGAGACACGGACCCAGGCCCUAUGGGGCGCAGCAGGCGAGAAACCUUUGCAAUGUGCGAAAGCACGACAAGGUUAAUCCGAGUGUCUCCUGCUAAAGGAGUCUUUUGUCAGUUGUAGAAUCACUGGCGAAUAAGGGGUGGGCAAGUUCUGGUGUCAGCCGCCGCGGUAAAACCAGCACCUCGAGUGGUCAGGAGAUUUAUUGGGCCUAAAGCAUCCGUAGCCGGUUGCAUAAGUUUCGGUUAAAUCUAUGCGCUUAACNUAUAGGCCGCGAAAAUACUGUGCAGCUAGGG
rnacentral:rRNA from 1 species